UGCGUAUUGUGAAAUUUACUUUCUUAAACAAAAUGUUUAAACUGUUUCUAUUUUUGCUACAGAGUUGGUUAUAUUGUUGUUUGUUGAACGCUUGUUAUCUCAAUACGAUGGAUCCGUGCACUAAAUGUAAAUGCUCCGAGGGCGGAAAAUGUAUCUGUGACCCAAAGAACUGCAAAUGCAACCCAUGUGGAUGCAGAAAGUCAAGCAAGUAGUUGCACCAACAUAUUCCUUCACCUUCACGACGAAUGCCUGCUUCAUUGUAAGAAAUACAAACACACCUCAAACA